UGGGGAAUCUUCCGCAAUGGGCGCAAGCCUGACGGAGCGACGCCGCGUGAAGGAUGAAGGCCCUUACGGGUCGUAAACUUCUGUUCUGAGGGACGAAAUUUUUUGACGGUACCUCAGGAGAAAGUAUCGGCAAACCCUGUGCCAGCAGCCGCGGUAAGACAGGGGAUACAAGCGUUACUCGGAAUUACUGGGCGUAAAGCGUCUGUAGGUGCUUUGGUAAGUCUGUGGUAAAAGCUCGGGGCUCAACCCCGAGAGCGUCAUGGAAACUACCGAAGUUGAGCAGUAGAGAGGCAUCUGGAAUGCCGCAUGUAGGAGUAAAAUCCGUAGAUAUGCGGUAGAACGCCAAAAGCGUAGGCAGGAUGCUAGCUACUUGCUGACACUGAGAGACGAAAGCGUGGGGAGCGAAGCGGAUUAGAUACCCAAGUAGUCCCUGAGCGGGCUGGCAAGGCGCAU
rnacentral:rRNA from 1 species